rnacentral:rRNA from 1 species
UACGUAGGGUGCAAGCGUUAAUCGGAAUUACUGGGCGUAAAGCGUGCGCAGGCGGUUGUGCAAGACAGGUGUGAAAUCCCCGGGCUUAACCUGGGAACUGCACUUGUGACUGCACAGCUGGAGUACGGCAGAGGGGGAUGGAAUUCCGCGUGUAGCAGUGAAAUGCGUAGAUAUGCGGAGGAACACCAGUGGCGAAGGCGGUGUUCUGGGUCAGUACUGACGCUGAGGCGCGAAAGCGUGGGGAGCGAACAGG